GAUGAAGAACGCAGCGAAAUGCGAUAAGUAGUGUGAAUUGCAGAAUUCAGUGAAUCAUCGAAUCUUUGAACGCACAUUGCGCCCCUUGGUAUUCCAUGGGGCAUGCCUGUUCGAGCGUCAUUUGUACCCUCAAGCUUUGCUUGGUGUUGGGUGUUUGUCCUCUCCUUUGCGUUUGGACUCGCCUUAAAGCAAUUGGCAGCCAGUGUUUUGGUAUUGAAGCGCAGCACAUUUUGCGAUUCUAGCCGAUAAUACUUGCGUCCAUAAGCCUUUUUUAACUUUUGCCCUCGGAUCAGGUAGGGAUACCCGCUGAACUUAAGCAUAUCAAUAAGCGGAGGA
rnacentral:misc_RNA from 1 species